ACCUUACCAGGGCUUGACAUGCCUCUGGAGUGUCUGGAAACAGGCACGGCCUGUAUCUUUGGAUACAGGACAGGGGACACAGGUGGUGCAUGGUUGUCGUCAGCUCGUGUCGUGAGAUGUUGGGUUAAGUCCCGCAACGAGCGCAACCCUUAUCCCUAGUUGCCAGCGCGUGAAGGCGGGGACUCUAGGGAGACUGCCGGGGACAACUCGGAGGAAGGUGGGGAUGACGUCAAAUCAUCAUGCCCCUUAUGCCCUGGGCUACACACGUGCUACAAUGGCCGGGUACAGAGGGAAGCGAAGCGGUAACGCGGAGCGAAUCCCAAAAAACCGGUCUCAGUUCGGAUUGUGGGCUGCAACUCGCCCACAUGAAGUCGGAAUCGCUAGUAAUCGCGGAUCAGCAUGCCGCGGUGAAUACGUUCCCGGGCCUUGUACACACCG
rnacentral:rRNA from 1 species